rnacentral:misc_RNA from 1 species
GUAUUAGUUUGUGUAUUUUUAGUACAGUGUGUGUGUGAGUGUGUUGGUGGUGGGACAGUACAAGUACAUAUCCCACCAACAUCAUUAACAAUCCGCAAUACAGAAUAAAUCAUUGUUGAUGAUCCUUCCGCAGGUUCACCUACGGAAA